GUCAAGGUCAUUGCUCCACAAUGUCAUUGCCAAAGACCCUAUGGGUCAAGGACAUUUUGUUUAAGAGUUUUGCCUAAUAAUGGCUUUAUAUAAACCAUCAAUGGGGAUUAUGCCCCUUACACAAUGGUAAAACCAAUACAGUCAUAAUGUAACAAAGUUGCCCCUUGAAGUACCAAGCAUUUUUCACUAUGUAAAUUUUCUGUAUCCAUAACCAUUCCAAAGUUAUAGGGAAAUCAAAGACAAAUACAAAUCUAAAAUACGACCUUGACCUUUGACCUUGACCUUAUUUUCAUUUUUUUGGACCAAGGAUCUCAAAUUAAAAGACCCUAGGUCUCUAUCACUUAUGG
rnacentral:lncRNA from 1 species